AAGACCGCUUCCUUUUUGAUAUCUGCAAGAUCUGUAAGUGUUUCGCCAGCUUCAUUUACUAAACGUUUGAUGGUGUUCUUUGACGAUCUUGUCUGAACAGCUCAAUGGAUGAAAACCGUGUUAUGAUCUCCAGCACCCAGCCACCUGAUGCAUGAUUUUUAUCGAAAGAACUUUUCCUCAAUGGCUGCCAAUUUGCUUCAUCUAUCAGUUGCCUCGGCUGCAGCUGCGAAAGUUACAGGAGUUGGAUCUUGUAAUGCCAUAUUUUGGCAAUGACACAUCUCCUCAUAAGCCAACUUAGUUCGAGUUUGCAAAUCUCCAUAAUGGAUCCUAUUUAACAACCGCAUAUCAUACUUGAGAAGCUUCAGCUUUGCUUGGAAUCUGCUCAAAGCUGCUCGAGAGUGAUGAAUAGCCUGAGUAGAAUCCCAUACACGCUUGACCGUUGGAAGGAAAUCAAUGUGUUCUGUAAGGUAAUUGAAGAACCGAAAAGGCUUUCAUGCAUCAUUUUGAGAACCUGAUAGCUGAACAACACACAUAGCAUGAUCUGAGAUGCCCCUUGCCUCAAAACGAGAAGAUGAGAUAAGAAAAUCCCUGAACCAAGCCGUAUUGAUCAAAGCACGGUCCAACUUCUUGCCUAUCGGAUCCUCAUCCCGC
rnacentral:lncRNA from 1 species